rnacentral:rRNA from 1 species
CCUACGGGUGGCUGCAGUGGGGAAUAUUGCACAAUGGAGGAAACUCUGAUGCAGCGACGCCGCGUGAGUGAUGAAGUAAUUAGGAAUGUAAAGCUCUAUCAGCAGGGAAGAAAAUGACGGUACGUGAGUAAGAAGCACCGGCUAACUACGUGCAAGCAGCCGCGGGAAUACGUAGGGGGCAAGCGUUAUACGGAUUUACUGGGUGUAAAGGGAGCGUAGGCGGCAGUGCAAGUCUGGAGUGAAAGGCGGGGGCUCAACCCCCAGACUGCUCUGGAUACUGUACGGCUGGAGUGCAGGAGAGGUAAGUGGAAUUCCUGGUGUAGCGGUGAAAUGCUUAGAUAUUAUGAGGAACACCAGUUGCGAAGGCAGCUUACUGGACUGUAACUGACGUUGAGGCUCGAAAGCGUGGGGAGCAAACAGGAUUAGAUACCCCUGUAGUC